rnacentral:rRNA from 1 species
AUACGGAGGAUCCGAGCGUUAUCCGGAUUUAUUGGGUUUAAAGGGAGCGUAGGUGGACAUGUAAGUCAGUUGUGAAAGUUUGCGGCUCAACCGUAAAAUUGCAGUUGAUACUGUGUGUCUUGAGUACAGUAGAGGUGGGCGGAAUUCGUGGUGUAGCGGUGGAAUGCUUAGAUAUAACGAAGAACUCCGAUUGCGAAGGCAGCUCACUGGACUGUUACUGACACUGAGGCUCGAAAGUGUGGGUAUCAAACAGGAUUAGAUACCCUGGUAGUCCACACAGUAAACGAUGAAUACUCGCUGUUUGCGAUAUACAGCAAGCGGCCAAGCGAAAGCAUUAAGUAUUCCACCUGGGGAGUACGCCGGCAACGGUGAAACUCAAAUGAAUUGACGGGG